UUGUGCUAGGCGGGGAGCUAGCGGUGCCCUUUUCCCGAAAUCCGCUCAUGCGGGGCUGAAUCCCCUCCUCAGGACCAAAAGCCGAAGGCAGGCUGUCGAGAUCGGCCGCCGCGCAACAAACUGUCUCGAACCUCGUCAGAUCCGGAAGGAAGCAGCGAUAAGGGAACGGGUUUGUGUCGCGGGUCGUCCCCGAUCACUAAAUGGUCUGUGUUUUCGGCAAGAGGUUCGAUGGAGGGUGCACAA
rnacentral:SRP_RNA from 1 species